AAUUUACUAUUCUGAUGGCGUAACAGGUAUUAAAGCUGCUGCUAAGUAUUACUUUAAUAAAGAUUUAAAAGAUUUAAACUUAGCGGAAGAAGCUUAUUUAGCCGGUUUACCUCAGGUUCCAAACAACUAUAAUAUUUAUGAUCAUCCAAAAGCUGCUGAAGAUCGUAAAAACACUGUUUUAUACUUAAUGCAUUAUCAUAAACGCAUUACAGAUAAACAGUGGGAAGAUGCUAAGAAAAUCGAUUUAAAAGCGAACUUAGUAAAUCGUACUGCUGAAGAACGUCAAAACAUUGAUACAAAUCAAGAUUCUGAGUAUAAUUCAUACGUUAACUUUGUAAAAUCUGAAUUAAUGAAUAAUAAAGAAUUCAAAGA
rnacentral:sRNA from 1 species